UUAGCUGCUGGUGUUUGGUUAUCAAACCUGAAAAUGUCUUGAUAGGUACUGUUAGUGUGUUCAGACAAUGAAAGCACGAUGUUACAUACGAAAUUUGGCUUCUGUAUCUGUAGAGGCCUUCUCUGGAGCACUGUGUAGUUAAUUAUGUAUUAAUACGUGUCCUUUUGAAUGUCUUUUUCUGUACUUCUGUUGGUUUCAGAAUACACAGAAGAUGCCCUGAUUCCUAAAAACUCAUCGGUAAUUGUCAAAAGAACCCCUGCUGGAGGAGUUAAAGCUACCGGCAAAACAGAUGUUCCGGCUCCUCAGUCACACAAAACCCCUGGAGCAGCUUCUUUCAGGUGACAUUCCUACUCCUAUUCUUAGUCAAUAAAGCGUAUGUAACAUGUCUAGUACUUUGGCACUUUCACAGCUAAGCAUGGUAGAUACCUGAACACAGUGCUUGGGCUUCCACAAAGAAACACUCUUCUAAAGACUAAGCUGCUGACAGUUUUGUUAUUUCUUUGUCAGAUGACUGAUUUUUUUUUUUCACUGAAGUAAACUUGCCCUUUGAAGUGUUGGGACUAUCACUGUUCCGCCAUAGAAACUAAAGUACUGUAUGUGACAGCUGUUUGUAAUACUAGGGAUGUACAGAUUGCCUGAAGCUACGUUCAUAGUGUGAGGGUUGAUUAUUUAAGAACACAAAGCUGUACUAGAGACUUGAUAUAUUUGAUACUGAUGUGGCAGAGAAAAUACCUGAGGACUUUCUCUUGCACUGUUGUGUUCUGUAUCUGUAAGUCUGACUUUGUGACAAAGUAGAAAUGGGAUUUUGGAGGUUUUUUAGUUGCACUGAAUGACCAAGAGAUAAGAGUUUGUGUACACAAAUAAAUUUCCAUAUUCCCUAGACUAUGGGAACAUAAUGUUUU